GUUCUCUCAGUGACUUUGUGUCUGUCGUUCAGGAUGAAUGUCUUGCUGUCCAUCUGUCUCUGGCUGUCUCUGAUGAUGUUAGUCUGCUGUGGAAUCAUUGAAAAGGAGACUCACACCAUGAAGACAUGUAUGAAUUCAAAGCGAAUAACUACACCUUUUAUUAUAACUUCUCUUAUGAUUAUUACUACGAUGUCUAUGAGCCUGAGCUCAUGAACAAGGUAAGCCAUCUUUUUUCAGAUGUAUUGGUAAAGGACAGAUUUACAAUUUAAAAUGGGAAACGAUUUAUUUAUUUUCCUUUUCCUUAUUUUUGUCACAUACUGUAUGUUGUGUAAUAACUGUGGACGAUCACAUUAAACACAGCUAAACUGCAAAAACACACUGAAACACUUCCAGAAAUCCUGAUUACACAUGUCACAAAAUCAGUGUUUAACAUCAGAAAAUCCAAAGAUUUCUUUUUACGUUUGAGCUUAAAUUUGUACUUUUUAAACUUCAAACAUUAAUAUUGGAAAUAAUUAGUAAAAAAAAAAAAAGGUCCCACUUUAUAUUCAGGAGGUUUUCUGACAGACUGGAUUCACUUCAACAAUCCUAAAACUAAUCACAGCUAAGCAGAGGUCAGCCAUCAGUGUUAAACUGACUUUUAUUUUUCAGACGUUACUUCAAAACUACAAGUAAAGCUGGCGUGUAAGCCCGUCACUUACUCGUGAGUUUUUAGUUGGUCUGUCUAACUUUCCUGCAGACGCUUGAUAAACAGAAAUGAAAGUUGUUGAGUUUCUGUCCCGUCUGCAUGUUUGUGGUUUUGUGUCACGUAUGUGAGGAACACCUGAACUCAAACACAAGCCUGUGAGUUUAAAGAGAUGCAUGCAUCCAUCCGUGUAACACGUGUCUCCAUAAUCAGAGAUAAAGUUAUAGAACGAUGAUGUGGAGCACCUUUGAGCUUUUAUCAUAUCAAUAUGGUGAAAAUAUCUGAGUAACGUUUC
ensembl:lncRNA